UACGAAGGGUGCAAACGUUGCUCGGAAUUAUUGGGCGUAAAGCGCACGUAGGCGGCAUUGCAAGUCGGAUGUGAAAUCUUAUGGCUUAACCAUAAAAGUGCAUCCGAAACUGCAGUGCUUGAGUACUUAAGAGGAUCGCGGAAUUCCCGGUGUAGAGGUGAAAUUCGUAGAUAUCGGGAGGAACACCGGUGGCGAAGGCGGCCCGCUGGGCAGUGGCUGGACGCUGAGGCGCGCAGCGUGGGGAGCAACAG
rnacentral:rRNA from 1 species